CCUACGGGAGGCUGCAGUAGGGAAUCUUCCACAAUGGACGAAAGCCUGAUGGAGCAACGCCGCGUGAGUGAAGAAGGGCUUCGGCUCGUAAAGCUCUGUUGGUAGUGAAGAAAGAUAGAGGUAGUAACUGGCCUUUAUUUGACGGUAAUUACUUAGAAAGUCACGGCUAACUACGUGCCAGCAGCCGCGGUAAUACGGAGGUGGCAAGCGUUGUCCGGAUUUAUUGGGCGUAAAGCGAGUGCAGGCGGUUAAAUAAGUCUGAUGUGAAAGCCCUGGGCUCAACCGGAGAAUUGCAUCGGAAACUGGUGGGCUGGAGUGCAGAAGAGGGGGGUGGAACUCCAGGUGUAGCGGUGAAAUGCGUAGAGAUAUGGAAGAACACCGGGGGCGAAGGCGGCUCUCUGGACUGCAACUGACGCUGAGGUGCGAAAGCGUGGGUAGCGAACAGGAUUAGAUACCCUUGUAGUC
rnacentral:rRNA from 1 species